rnacentral:rRNA from 1 species
UACAGAGGUCUCAAGCGUUGUUCGGAUUCAUUGGGCGUAAAGGGUGCGUAGGUGGCGCGCUAAGUCAGGUGUGAAAUUUCGGAGCUUAACUCCGAAACUGCAUUUGAUACUGGCGUGCUUGAGGACUGGAGAGGAGACUGGAAUUCAUGGUGUAGCAGUGAAAUGCGUAGAGAUCAUGAGGAAGACCAGUAGCGAAGGCGGGUCUCUGGACAGUUCCUGACACUGAGGCACGAAGGCCAGGGGAGCAAACGGG